GACGAACGCUGGCGGCGUGCUUAACACAUGCAAGUCGAACGCUGAAGCUCAGCUUUUGUUGGGUGGAUGAGUGGCGAACGGGUGAGUAACACGUGAGUAACCUGCCCCCUUCUUUGGGAUAACGCCCGGAAACGGGUGCUAAUACUGGAUAUUCACUGGUCUUCGCAUGGGGGUUGGUGGAAAGGGUUUUUCUGGUGGGGGAUGGGCUCGCGGCCUAUCAGCUUGUUGGUGGGGUGAUGGCCUACCAAGGCUUUGACGGGUAGCCGGCCUGAGAGGGUGACCGGUCACAUUGGGACUGAGAUACGGCCCAGACUCCUACGGGAGGCAGCAGUGGGGAAUAUUGCACAAUGGGCGCAAGCCUGAUGCAGCGACGCCGCGUGAGGGAUGGAGGCCUUCGGGUUGCGAACCUCUUUAGCUCAUGGUCAAGCCGCAACAAUGGUUGUGGUGAGGGUAGUGGGUAAAGAAGCGCCGGCUAACUACGUG
rnacentral:rRNA from 1 species